rnacentral:lncRNA from 1 species
GGUGCUACUAUUAAACAUUGUCUUUUUGUUGUUUUAAGAUUUCUUUAAGUAUUUGCUGGCGUUUAAUGUGCAGAAAUCUUAUAAGCAUCUUGGAUGUUAGGGCAUAAGAUGCUUGGGGUUAAAAUUUGUGUUUUUUUAUACAAGAUUUCCAUAUUUUGUAUUACCUCUUAGAGUACUAGGCAUUGUUUGGCAAUAGUUUAUGCUACUUUCAAUUUCUAAAAAUACUUGUAUUAUUUAGGAGGUACAAAAGGAGUAAUGAUAAGUGCAUAAUAUAAUAUGAUCUUAAUUUUAGUGUAUCAUAUUAAGGAAACAAAUCGGUAGAAAUAAUGGGACAUUAAGAGAUCAUUUAUGUACUCUGAAAAAAUCUUAUAUACAAUAAUGAUAUCACGAGACUCUACAAAUUAGCACUUAAAUUAAGAUGAAGAUGGCCCGGAAAAACAUGAUUGAAAAGGCAACCCUAGGGUUCUAGAUGUAUCUUGAGGGACGAGUGUCAUUGGAGGAUAAGAAGAUAGCUUGAAUCAUCGUCAGGCUGAAGAGCUCGUAUAAUUGUUGCAUGACAGAGUAGAGUGGUACAUUUGCAUACUAUACAUGCAACUGGAAGAACAAGGAAAUACCUGAGCCAACUAAAAAGAAAACUCAACUGAUUAAGUAGGAAGUACACACUUGGUUUGACGAGUCUAAACCAAACAUGGCAAAGUGCAGCCCAAGGGAGCCAAACAGCUUGGUUCAAGGGGAACUAAGAAAGGUUGAAUCUGAUAGGAGACGCAAAGGAAAGACAGUGGGAGGCCACAGUGCCAAGAAGUGCGCAUCACACACUUUCUCACAUGACGAAGGUUAAACUUACAGUAUCCGGGAACCAUCACACCGUUGCUCCUGCUGCAACACGCCAUUACCUUAGUCACUUGGUGGGUUUUUUACACUAGAGAAGGGCGACACGAGCCCAAAUUAGCGGCAGACAUUGCGUGAUGUGAAAGCAGUGGGAUAGAGAAUCCAAUGGUUGAAGAAAAUAUGUUUUGAGGAUAGAUGGAAAGUAGAAGUGCAAAUUAGAGAUAGCAGUUUUUGAAGAAGAGAGAAAUGGGAGGGACAUUUUGAUGAUUAGGGUGGAUGCAGACAUUUUACUUGGAGGGCUUACCUAAAAGCAGACUUAUUGAAGAAAAUGAUUGAAGCUGGGAGAGUGUGCUACAAAAUGUCCACGUAGUGCACCUAUGAGAAGUGACUACAGAGCAAAACUGAAACAGAUCUCUGUUAUAUUUUUUAACAGAAGCUGGAUGAGUCCCACUAUAAUGGCUAGCAACAUAUAACAAAACGGACUAGAUUUCUUAGUUCUUACAGUACAAAGUCCACCAAGUUUGGGAGAGCCACGGGAAUUGGAAGAAAAUAAUCAUGGAGAUAACUAGAUCUUUACAACAGGGUAGGGCACUAGUUGGUGAAAUAGUGAUAGUGUAGCUAGGUCAUUGAGGAUGGUACCACAUUGAUAAUACAUCGUGUUGAAAUUAUAUAGUUAAAGCAAGGAAGGAAAAAAAGGGAGAGAAUAAUUUUUGAGAAAUGGGAUCUUAUGUAUUAUGAUGUGAUACCAGAUACGAAAUGCUUAUCUUUUUUAUGCUAGUACUAGAUUCUUAGUCUUGAUCAAAUCAGGAAAUAUACUGUGUCCGUGGCAUAUGGAUUCCAAUCUUAAGUUAUCAUUUAAGAUGCUCUAAACUAUUCUAAGAUACAAUAGUGAUGAUUUUAUUAGAUGUUUAUUUAUGUGCUAAUCAAUUCCCCAUGUUUUUUAUUCAGUUAUUAAUAUAUUACACUAAAUUAUACAUUUUCCUGUUGCUCUUAUACCAAGUCAUAAACCUAUAAUGAAGAGGAAAUUACACUCCCCCCUCUAAGAGAAACUUUAACUAGCAAGGUCUCAAAGUAGGACAAGUGAAGGCUGGGAGUUGUUAGUGUCACUCCCUAGCUAUGUGUUAUUUUGCUUGUGAUUUGCCUAGUCUGUUGAUUUUCAAUCAGUAGUUCUGCACAAUUUGUCAAGGGUAUGAGGGUUGGAAUGAUAAACAUCAUACUCCUGGGGGACUCCUAGUCCUUCUACUUUAAGUAACGUCAAUGCCUCAAUGGUGACAAUGGAACUUUGUGAAAACUUUUUUACUUGUAAAUACCAAGAAAAUACUAUCUAAAUAAACAGUAUUGAAGAAUAGGACAAAUAUAAUUUUAGGGAUUUUUUUGAUUAAACAUUAGUGGAACGGUGUAAAACAGUGAGGGGAGGUAAUUGAAGGUGUAAUUCUAAUUUAUCUUUUUAAUUAGAAUGAUUUUCUCAUUUUUCUAUAUAAUUUCUAAUCAAUUGGUAAAUUAAUUAUCAGUCCCUGACCACAAUCUGGCCAGUUUGGUAACCAUCCAGGUUUGCUCAAUAAUAUUCAUUCUUGUUUGGUCAAGUACUGUACUGUUACCAUAGCAGUAUAGUACUGUCAAAGUGCUCAAGAACAAUUAUGUCCUUAGGCAUCUAAGAUUCUCGUGAACUGGAAAAGGCACAUCUCAUCCCCCAGAAUGAACAUCUUAGCUGGAUAGAGGGUAGUAGGGCACUACGGUUUCUUUUAUUCCUCUAUUGACAUUAAUUAUAGUGUGUAGUGGAUUCUACAUAUCUCAUUCUGUCUAUCAUUCUUUUGUUGGUGCAAAAGUUGUAUUACGUGGUUACUUGAUACUAAUGAUUAGUUUUGCUACUGCAAUUUAAGGCACCUUUGGUUUUGGAUGACUUGUCUAUCAUUCUUUUGUUGGUGCAAAAGUUGUAUUACGUGGUUACUUGAUACUAAUGAUUAGUUUUGCUACUGCAAUUUAAGGCACCUUUGGUUUUGGAUGACUUGUCUACUGCAGGAAUGGGCUGAAACCUUUGGGGGUGUUUCUCUGCUGGAUGCCUUGUUCAAGGCCGUUGAUGAGGUGAGUUUCAUU